rnacentral:rRNA from 1 species
CCUACGGGUGGCUGCAAUGAGGAAUAUUGCACAAUGGGGGAAACCCUGAUGCAGCGACGCCGCGUGGGUGAGGAAGUCCUUCGGGAUGUAAAGCCCUUUUCUCGGGGACGAUUCCAGACGGUACCCGAGGAAUAAGCCCCGGCUAACUACGUGCCAGCAGCCGCGGUAAUACGUAGGGGGCGAGCGUUGUCCGGAUUUACUGGGCGUAAAGAGCGCGUAGGCGGAUGUUUAAGUGUGGCCUCAAAGCCCCCGGCUCAACCGGGGAUCUGGGUUGC